rnacentral:rRNA from 1 species
UACGAAGGGGGCUAGCGUUGCUCGGAAUCACUGGGCGUAAAGGGUGCGUAGGCGGGUCUUUAAGUCAGGGGUGAAAUCCUGGAGCUCAACUCCAGAACUGCCUUUGAUACUGAAGAUCUUGAGUUCGGGAGAGGUAAGUGGAACUGCGAGUGUAGAGGUGAAAUUCGUAGAUAUUCGCAAGAACACCAGUGGCGAAGGCGGCUCACUGGCCCGAUACUGACGCUGAGGCACGAAAGCGUGGGGGAGCAAACAGGA